GCCUAGGUGGCUCAGUCGGUUUAACAUCCGACUUCAGCUCGGGUCAUGAUCUCUUGCCUUGUGGGUUCAAGUCCCACAUCAGGCU
rnacentral:tRNA from 1 species